AUAACAUGGAAAGCUUUUGCUCUUUCAUUAUAACUAAUCAUUUGUCACAUGUUAUGGCUCUAACUUCUACAGUUUGAUUUCAACAUCAAUAUUAGAUACAUUUGUUCUUCUUUAAAAUUUCAUGGGCUUGAAAUUUACUCUUACUACAGAUCUUAGCAUAUGACUUUAAAAUGUUUAUUGUAUUAAUUCAAGAACUACUGUUCACUUCAAGGAAGAAUUUAUGCUUCUCAAAGGCAUAGCUGAACUCCCAAGACUACCACUCCCACAUCUGGGUUCAUCAUUAAGAGCAAUUACUUGAACACAGGAUGCUAGAUCUUGUAAAAUUUACUCAUGAAUAUGCUAUGGUAUCUGCAAUGCUUCCUGGAUGGAACUUCAGAGAGAGAGAGAGAGCAUAUGGCCUCCAUCACAGUGUCCUCCAGGCUGCUGCUUGGCAUAGGGAAGUAGUGAGAGGCAUCCAAACUUUCAAAGAUCGUGAUUUGGUCUAUGGCCAUUCCAUCCUGAAUGAAUCCUGUCUUGUCUGACUGCAGAAACCCAUACUUCCUAACUGUUGGAUUUAAAGACAAAGUCUUUCAUUCAUCUAGAACUCCCCAGGCAGACCAGGCUGACCAGCCAGAGCUUCAGGAAUUCGCCUGACUCCAUCUUUACAAUGCUGUGAUUACAACCUCGAGCCACGGUGCUGGCCUUUUUACACGGGUGCUGUGGACUGAACUGACGUUCUCAUGCGGGCGAAGCAUGCACUUCAUUGAUGGAGCUCUCUUCCCCUCCUCCCCUCACCACAUCUGUCUGAAAGUGAGUUAUCGGAAGCACAGCCACAGAAGUCGUGGAUUUAUUUCAAAAAAAGUUUCAAGCUUAGAUGUUUCAGUAAAUACUUGAUGAGGAACUAUGAAUUCUUUCUUGCUGAGAGAAAAGGGGACUUGGCUUUUUGAAAGUGGCCGAUUAUUUUAUACAUUCUUACUUUCCUCCCGAGUCCUUAUCCCUUUAUACCUGGCUGACCAUCUCAGUUAGCUUUUCCUUAGGCAUCUUCAAAGGAGUUCAAAAUCGAAGAAAUAUAAGCCAACACAUCACCCCAUUCUUGUUGGCAGAAGAAAGACCUCUCUGAGAUUCAGGAUUUACCCUAAGUAUUUCAUAUUAAAUAACCAUAGUAGGUUAAGAUUCCAAUUUGCUCGGGCUCUUUACAGGCAAGAAUACAAAAAGAGAAUGGGACUAACAAGACCACUCAGCAGGUAAUGGCAUUUGCCGCCAAGCCUGAUGAUCUGAGUUUGAUCCUUAGGAACCACAUGAUAGGAGAAGAGACUCCUCUAAGUUGUCCUCUGCCCUCCAUACAUGUGCCCUGGCACAUGCAUGUCACAAUCAUAUGCUGGUAAAAACAUACUAAAUACACGAAUAAACAUAACACAUUUAAAAAAAAGAGAAUAAUGAUGCUAGAACUUCCCUGGAAUUAUAUAACCAGGUUGAUUUAUAAGGUAACUAUCUCUGUAUUAGGUAAUAUGAACCUACCCUAUUAAGUAUAUAUCUAUAUCUAUAAUCUAUAUAUAUCUAUAUAUCUAUUAAUAACUGUGAAAGAUAUCUAUCUUGUCUUUUAUAUUCAUGUCCACAAAUUAAACAGAUGGCUGACAUAUAUGCUUUAUUGGGGGUGUUUUAGUAAUCCUUAGCAUAUGACUUCAGACUUUUAGAGGCUCCAAAGAGCCCGUGAAGGCUCCUCACCAAAGCUACAUGCAGAGAUCCUGUUAGAUGGAAGCUUAUUCAUGUUUGGAGAAGAGGAACAAACCCCAACUCCCCCAAGGAGCUGAAGUUUCUGAGUAUAAGUUUAACAAGCACAUGUCCACACCACAUGAGGACAUGUGCUUGUGAACAUGGAUGGCACAGCCUACGACCCUCACCCCAAAAGCACAGGAAGAAAAGACUAACAGACUUCCUCUAACUCCAAGGUUCUUUCAAGUCUUCAUCGCCAAAGUAGAUCAAGGGCACUAACAAACUUCCAGCUUCUCUUUCCCCAUAAGCCCAGCCUGUUUCCAAAUCUAUGAAGCAGAGCCAGCCUUCAGCCCGUUGAUAGAGUUUCCCAAACGAUGAAUCAGUCUCUCAUGUUCUGCAGGAACAGGUAGAUAUGAAUUGCGACCUCCUGAGGUGAGAUUCUGCCAAUGGCUGUCUCUAACUUCCAUAAGAAAGGUAAGGUUUGCUCUGCAGCAUCCAAACACACGGUACACAGAUGUCCUGCUCUGCUGGGGCAGAUUUUCAUUGCAAACAGGGGAGUGAAUGGAAAGGUUUGUUUCUCUUAUCUCCACAUCGAACAUCCUACCAGUCGUGACCUAGUCCUCUACACACACUCCAUGCCAGCAGGGGUGUAGGAGACAGUAUCUGACUUCUGUCACACUUACCCACCAUAAUAGCUAAAACCAUUUUCCAACUUAGUCUUUCUCCUGGGAAGGAGCCCAGGGCCAUAGAAGCCACUCAUUCAUCACCUGUCACAGCCCAGUGAUCCUCUGAGCAGACAUACUGGGCUAGGAAAAUUGGUUUGACAGCCCCGAGGUCAGCUUGCCUAGUGACUGAAGACUUGCCUUUACGACCCUCAAGUGUGUAUAAUACCGUGUCUUCUGCAUGGACACUGUUCCUCAUAUGCUAUUAGCAAUGAUGAAUCUGGAAAAAAAAUAAUGCCAAGGCACAGCAGGGCCAAGCUUGAGGACUAUACCACACAAGGAAGAAUGUCACCAAGAGACAGUGACAACAAACUCAGGACAGCCCUCCUGAUACUCAUGCAUUAGCCUUCAUCUUAGGAUUUCAGAAAUCGAUGUUUGCGAGACCCUACACCUCCAGCCUCUGGUAUUUUUCACAUCAUGGUCUUAAUUUUUCAAACCGAUGUCUGUCAUCCUGGACAAUUUUAUGUGUAAUGA